GUAGUACUCCCUCCGUUUGGAAUUACUUGACACAAAAAUGGAUGUAUCUACAACUAAAAUACAUCUAGAUACAUUCAUUUCUUGGACGAGUAAUUCCGAACGGAGGGAGUAUGUA
rfam:Triticum aestivum genome assembly, contig: Triticum_aestivum_CS42_TGACv1_scaffold_344480_4DL